rnacentral:rRNA from 1 species
UACGAAGGGGGCUAGCGUUGUUCGGAAUUACUGGGCGUAAAGCGCGCGCAGGCGGUUCUUCAAGUCAGUGGUGAAAGCCCGGAGCUCAACUCCGGAACUGCCAUUGAAACUGUGAAACUUGAGGACGAGAGAGGUGAGUGGAAUUCCCAGUGUAGAGGUGAAAUUCGUAGAUAUUGGGAAGAACACCGGUGGCGAAGGCGGCUCACUGGCUCGUUUCUGACGCUCAGGCGCGACAGCGUGGGGAUCAAACAGG